CCUACGGGUGGCAGCAGUGAGGAAUAUUGGUCAAUGGACGGGAGCCUGAACCAGCCAAGUAGCGUGAAGGAUGACUGCCCUAUGGGUUGUAAACUUCUUUUAUAUGGGAAUAAAACGUUCCACUUGUAGGGUUUUGUAUGUACCAUAUGAAUAAGGACCGGCUAACUCCGUGCCAGCCGCCGCGGUAAUACGGAGGAUCCGGGCGUUAUCCGGAUUUAUUGGGUUUAAAGGGAGCGUAGGGCGAUUGUUAAGUCAGCUGUGAAAGUUUGGGGCUCAACCCGAGCAUUGCAGUGCAAACUGGCAGUCUUGAGUACAGUAGAGGUGGGCGGAAUUCGUGGUGUAGCGGUGAAAUGCUUAGAUAUGACGAAGAACUCCGAUUGCGAAGGCAGCUCACUGCACUGCAACUGACACUGAGGCUCGAAAGUGUGGGUAUCAAACAGGAUUAGAUACCCGAGUAGUC
rnacentral:rRNA from 1 species